GACGAACGUUGGCGGCGUGCUUAAUACAUGCAAGUCAACUGAAGCACCGGUAGCAAUACUGGUGUGGAGGUGGCGCACGGGUGAGUAACACGUAGGUAAUCUGCCUUCAGGUCUGACAUAACUCCGGGAAACCGAAGCUAAUAUCAGAUGAUGCAGCGGCUUGACAUCAAGACAGUUGUUAAAGCUUCGGCGCCUGAAGAUGAGCCUGCGCUGAUUAGCUAGUUGGCGGGGUAACGGCCCACCAAGGCUGCGAUCAGUAGCUGGUCUGAGAGGAUGAUCAGUCACACUGGAACUGAGACACGGUCCAGACUCCUACGGGAGCAGCAGUAAGAUAUUGCUCAAUGGCCGAAAGGCUGAAGCAGCAACGCCGCGUGAGGGAUGAAGGGCUUUUGCUUGUAAACCUCUGUAGCGAGAG
rnacentral:rRNA from 1 species